CUGAUGAAAGAAUGUCCCAGGAGAUUCCUCCUAAUUAAAUGCUGACUGAGGAAUCUGAGGAGGGGGGGAAGGGGUGUCAGGAGUGGGAGGCCAUUAAUGACACGUUGGAAGACAAACAGGAUGUUGAUUCACCUGUAAAGAUCUCCAAGGCCUGACCUCAGAGUUGAGAUUAAGGAAAGAAUAUUCCUCGAGUUGGACUUAAGCAUGGAUCUGGUGGAAGAGUCCCUGCCUGGAUUAUUAGACUUGUGUGGAGUGAGCACCUGGGCUUGCAGAGUGUGGGGGUCUGGAGAGGAGUUGGGUGGGGAGAUUUAAGGGGGAGGAGUUCCCAAGAAACCACAGAAGCUUUGGGUGCCUGAGAGGUUGGGAGAGCACCCUGCUAAAGCAUCCUAUCUGGUAGGGAGGGGAGCUCUUGACAGACGGGUUGUUAGGGAGGGUGGUGAAAGCCACGCACAUCAAGGGGCUGGCUUGAUUGCCCUCUGGCCCCACAUCUAAGCUUCUGGGCUGUGACUGCCCCCAACCAAGUCCUCAGAGCCCAGCUUGGGACCCACCACCCGCCAUACUCCACGCUCCCAAGCCCUUACUCUGCUGUUCCAAGGGCCGACCUGCUGCCACAAAGUUCUCUUUCUAGACAGCCCGGUGUGAAUUCUCACUUCCUCCUGGGACUUCCUCCAGCAGGACUGUGGCUGUGGAUGAAACAGGCGCCUAUUUAAUCGACAGAGACCCCACCUACUUUGGGCCUGUGCUGAACUACCUGAGACACGGCAAGCUGGUGAUUAACAAAGACCU
rnacentral:lncRNA from 1 species